rnacentral:tRNA from 1 species
GAUGGCUCAGUGGUUAAGAGCACUGACUGCUCUUCCAGAGGUCCUGAGUUCAAUUCUCAGCA